rnacentral:tRNA from 4 species
GCGGACGUGGCGAAAUUGGUAGACGCAAGAGACUUAAAAUCUCUCGGGUAAUUCCGUACGGGUUCGACCCCCGUCGUCCGCA